GAUUUAUGUAAGGGGUGCCUGAAAUAUGACGGGCUGAGAUCAUACCCAUUGAACCUGAUACGGGUAAUACCGGCGAAGGGAAAUGAGCGGUUUACAAG
rnacentral:ncRNA from 2 species